rnacentral:misc_RNA from 1 species
CGAAACUAUACGGAAUACGGGGAAGAGUGUAAGAGAAAAAAGAAGCGCGAUGCAUGUCUACACAUGUUGCCCAGUAUUGCGUUAGCCAGUGCCCGACGUAAAAAAAAAGCAGGAGGCCACAUUGCUUUUCAACAGCCGAAAAUGCCCAGAAAAUGCUUGCGGAAGACCGAAAGAGCACGGUUUGAUAUUUCUGGGAUGCUUAUGAUGAAGUAAAACGUGGGACUUCUAUACGGAGAGCUGCGGAAAUCCAUAAUAUUAAUCGCAUGUCGUUGUUACGAUACAUUCGU